GAUGAACGCUGGCGGCGUGCCUAACACAUGCAAGUCGAGCGAAGCGCUGUUUUCAGAAUCUUCGGAGGAAGAGGACAGUGACUGAGCGGCGGACGGGUGAGUAACGCGUGGGCAACCUGCCUCAUACAGGGGGAUAACAGUUAGAAAUGACUGCUAAUACCGCAUAAGCGCACAGGACCGCAUGGUGUAGUGUGAAAAACUCCGGUGGUAUGAGAUGGACCCGCGUCUGAUUAGGUAGUUGGUGGGGUAAAGGCCUACCAAGCCGACGAUCAGUAGCCGACCUGAGAGGGUGACCGGCCACAUUGGGACUGAGACACGGCCCAAACUCCUACGGGAGGCAGCAGUGGGGAAUAUUGCACAAUGGGGGAAACCCUGAUGCAGCGACGCCGCGUGAAGGAAGAAGUAUUUCGGUAUGUAAACUUCUAUCAGCAGGGAAGAAAAUGACGGUACCUGAGUAAGAAGCACCGG
rnacentral:rRNA from 1 species